AUCUAGUAGUAUGGAAUAGCCAUUAGAAAUGAUGGGUAAUACUGUAUAAUCCCUGCGGGGGAAAGAUUUAUCGCUAUUAGAUGAGCCUACGUUAGAUUAGCUAGUGGGUAAGGUAAUGGCUUACCAAGGCUAUGAUCUAUAGCUGGUCUGAGAGGACGAUCAGCCACACUGGAACUGAGAUACGGUCCAGACUCCUACGGGAGGCAGCAGUGGGGAAUAUUGGACAAUGGGCGAAAGCCUGAUCCAGCUAUGCCGCGUGAGGGAAGAAGGCCUUCGGGUCGUAAAACUCUUUCAAUAGGGAAGA
rnacentral:rRNA from 1 species